UACGGAGGGUGCAAGCGUUAUCCGGAUUCACUGGGUUUAAAGGGUGCGUAGGCGGGCAGGUAAGUCCGUGGCGAAAUCUCUGAGCUUAACUCAGAAACUGCCAUGGAUACUAUUUGUCUUGAAUGUUGUGGAGGUAAGCGGAAUAUGUCAUGUAGCGGUGAAAUGCUUAGAUAUGACAUAGAACACCAAUUGCGAAGGCAGCUUACUACACAAAUAUUGACGCUGAGGCACGAAAGCGUGGGGAUCAAACAGG
rnacentral:rRNA from 1 species